CUGAACACCAGGCAAAAAUUCAGCUCUUAGAGUGCUAAGAUUUCAUUUUGCAAAGAAAGAGGGCUGCCAGGACCAAGGAGGGAGGAACAGUGGCUCUCAUUUUGAACUAGGAUAAACACUUCUUGAAAUUCCAGGGACUAAUAUUGAGAUGAACCAGGCAUGGAGACCAAGCUGCAAAAUUCCAGAAAUGACCUCCAGGUUGUUAGUCUACAACCCAGCCAUCGUCAAGAUAACAUUAGACUGCGUUCCAGGUGGACCAUGACUCAAGAUAGCCACCAGACCAAGGCACGGACACCUAGCACCCAGCACCACUCCUGCAUGCCUCCCACUCUAAGUUCCCCUUUAUAAACACCUCUCCACAGUCGAAAGUUUGAAAUCGUCUUUUAAGGGCAUGAGCUUGGCCAUUCCCAGAUCUUGGCAUUUGAAUAAAGUAGCUCUCUGUUCAUCACACCCCGCUUCUCGUGUUUUCAGCCUCUGAGUGGAGCAGCCAGACUUGCGUGUGGUGACGCUACUGUAUGGCUACAUCAAACAGAAAUAGAGACCAAAGAAGAGAAUGAGGAGAGUAAAGUUAGCAGAAGUGGAAAAAUA
rnacentral:lncRNA from 1 species